rnacentral:rRNA from 1 species
UACGUAGGGGGCAAGCGUUGUCCGGAAUCAUUGGGCGUAAAGCGCGCGUAGGCGGCCCGGUAAGUCCGUUGUGAAAGUCAAAGGCUCAACCUUUGAACGCCGAUGGAUACUGCCGGGCUAGAGUCCGGAAGAGGAGAGUGGAAUUCCUGGUGUAGCGGUGAAAUGCGCAGAUAUCAGGAAGAACACCCGUGGCGAAGGCGGCUCUCUGGGACGGUACUGACGCUGAGACGCGAAAGCGUGGGGAGCGAACAGG